GCUCUGCGGUCUGUUAUCGGCCCCGCGUUGCGUUGUACUCGGGGUCUCCAGACUUGCAGAAAGAAUAUUUUUCUUCCAGAGGAAGCCGAGACAUAACUGUGAAAGUAUCAGCAAGCGUAUGUGCUAUAUUCCUCUGACACUUUGAUCUGUUGCCACGGCGAUAAUAACUUUUCUCAUGUUAUUAUCAAUCCAUCAACAGAUAGAAUAACGCAGGUGGAUAUUAUUUACAGAAUGAAGCUUUCUGCUAAACACUAAAACUGCUACAAAC